rnacentral:rRNA from 1 species
CGGAACACGAGAAAUUCCGUCGGAAUCCGCGGGGACCAUCCCGCAAGGCUAAAUACUCCCUAGUGACCGAUAGUGAACCAGUACCGUGAGGGAAAGGUGAAAAGCACCCCGGAAGGGGAGUGAAAUAGAUCCUGAAACCGUGUGCCUACAACAAGUCAAAGCUCGUUAAUGAGUGAUGGCGUGCCUUUUGUAGAAUGAACCGGCGAGUUACGAUUGCAUGCGAGGUUAAGUCGAAGAGACGGAGCCGCAGCGAAAGCGAGUCUGAAUAGGGCGAAUGAGUAUGUAGUCGUAGACCCGAAACCAUGUGAUCUACCCAUGUCCAGGUUGAAGGUGCGGUAAAACGCACUGGAGGACCGAACCCACGUACGUUGAAAAGUGCGGGGAUGAGGUGUGGGUAGCGGAGAAAUUCCAAACGAACUUGGAGAUAGCUGGUUCUCUCCGAAAUAGCUUUAGGGCUAGCCUCGGAAUUGAGAAUGAUGGAGGUAGAGCACUGUUUGGACUAGGGGCCCAUCUCGGGUUACCGAAUUCAGAUAAACUCCGAAUGCCAUUCAUUUAUAUCCGGGAGUCAGACUGCGAGUGAUAAGAUCCGUAGUCGAAAGGGAAACAGCCCAGACCACCAGCUAAGGUCCCAAAAUAUAUGUUAAGUGGAAAAGGAUGUGGGGUUGCACAGACAACUAGGAUGUUGGCUUAGAAGCAGCCACCAUUUAAAGAGUGCGUAAUAGCUCACUAGUCGAGUGACCCUGCGCCGAAAAUGUACCGGGGCUAAACAUAUUACCGAAGCUGUGGACUACACCAUUAGGUGUAGUGGUAGGAGAGCGUUCUAAGGGCGUUGAAGGUCGAUCGUGAGGACGGCUGGAGCGCUUAGAAGUGAGAAUGCCGGUAUGAGUAGCGAAAGACAGGUGAGAAUCCUGUCCACCGUAUGACUAAGGUUUCCUGGGGAAGGCUCGUCCGCCCAGGGUUAGUCGGGACCUAAGCCGAGGCCGAUAGGCGUAGGCGAUGGACAACAGGUUGAUAUUCCUGUACCAGUUGUUUUUGUUUGAGCAAUGGAGGGACGCAGUAGGCUAAGGAAUGCAUGCGAUUGGAAGUGC